rnacentral:rRNA from 1 species
AUGAACGCUAGCUACAGGCUUAACACAUGCAAGUCGAGGGGCAGCAUCAUCAAAGCUUGCUUUGAUGGAUGGCGACCGGCGCACGGGUGAGUAACACGUAUCCAACCUGCCGACAACACUGGGAUAGCCUUUCGAAAGAAAGAUUAAUACCGGAUGGCAUAAUUAUUCCGCAUGGGAUAAUUAUUAAAGAAUUUCGGUUGUCGAUGGGGAUGCGUUCCAUUAGGCAGUUGGCGGGGUAACGGCCCACCAAACCUACGAUGGAUAGGGGUUCUGAGAGGAAGGUCCCCCACAUUGGAACUGAGACACGGUCCAAACUCCUACGGGAGGCAGCAGUGAGGAAUAUUGGUCAAUGGACGAGAGUCUGAACCAGCCAAGUAGCGUGAAGGAUGACUGCCCUAUGGGUUGUAAACUUCUUUUAUACGGGAAUAAAGUUAGCCACGUGUGGCUUUUUGUAUGUACCGUAUGAAUAAGGAUCGGCUAACUCCGUGCCAGCAGCCGCGGUAAUACGGAGGAUCCGAGCGUUAUCCGGAUUUAUUGGGUUUAAAGGGAGCGUAGGCGGGUUGUUAAGUCAGUUGUGAAAGUUUGCGGCUCAACCGUAAAAUUGCAGUUGAUACUGGCGACCUUGAGUGCAACAGAGGUAGGCGGAAUUCGUGGUGUAGCGGUGAAAUGCUUAGAUAUCACGAAGAACUCCGAUUGCGAAGGCAGCUUACUGGAUUGUAACUGACGCUGAUGCUCGAAAGUGUGGGUAUCAAACAGGAUUAGAUACCCUGGUAGUCCACACUGUAAACGAUGAAUGCUAGGUGUAGGGGGUAUCGACCCCUUCUGUGCCGCAGUCAACACAAUAAGCAUUCCGCCUGGGGAGUACGGCCGCAAGGUUGAAACUCAAAGGAAUUGACGGGGGCCCGCACAAGCGGAGGAACAUGUGGUUUAAUUCGAUGAUACGCGAGGAACCUUACCCGGGCUUAAAUUGCAGAUGAAUUACGGUGAAAGCCGUAAGCCGCAAGGCAUCUGUGAAGGUGCUGCAUGGUUGUCGUCAGCUCGUGCCGUGAGGUGUCGGCUUAAGUGCCAUAACGAGCGCAACCCUUACGGGUAGUUACCAUCAGGUUAUGCUGGGGACUCUACCCGGACUGCCGUCGUAAGAUGUGAGGAAGGUGGGGAUGACGUCAAAUCAGCACGGCCCUUACGUCCGGGGCUACACACGUGUUACAAUGGGGGGUACAGAAGGCAGCUACACGGCGACGUGGUGCUAAUCCCAAAAGCCUCUCUCAGUUCGGAUUGGAGUCUGCAACCCGACUCCAUGAAGCUGGAUUCGCUAGUAAUCGCGCAUCAGCCACGGCGCGGUGAAUACGUUCCCGGGCCUUGUACACACCGCCCGUCAAGCCAUGAAAGCCGGGGGUACCUGAAGUACGUAACCGCGAGGAGCGUCCUAGGGUAAAACUGGUGAUUGGGGCU